rnacentral:rRNA from 1 species
GACGAACGCUGGCGGCGUGCUUAACACAUGCAAGUCGAACGGUGACGAGGAGCUUGCUCCUCCGAUCAGUGGCGAACGGGUGAGUAACACGUGAGCAACCUGCCCCAGACUCUGGGAUAACAGUUGGAAACAGCUGCUAAUACCGGAUACGAGACGGAGAGGCAUCUCUACCGUCUGGAAAGUUUUUCGGUCUGGGAUGGACUCGCGGCCUAUCAGCUUGUUGGUGAGGUAAAGGCUCACCAAGGCGACGACGGGUAGCCGGCCUGAGAGGGCGACCGGCCACACUGGGACUGAGACACGGCCCAGACUCCUACGGGAGGCAGCAGUGGGGAAUAUUGCACAAUGGGCGAAAGCCUGAUGCAGCGACGCCGCGUGAGGGAUGACGGCCUUCGGGUUGUAAACCUCUUUCAGCAGGGAAGAAGCGAAAGUGACGGUACCUGCAGAAGAAGCACCGGCUAACUACGUG